AGAAAGAGGAUGGAGGAAACAACGCUGCUGUGUCUCCUCUUUCUGACUGCAGUGCUGAUCUGCACGACACACCAAGGUCAGUGAGCCUCUGUUACCAGUGUCUGAAAGUCAGAAAUAAGAAAAAUGAUCUCAUGUUUUGUGCAUUUAUUGUUCCUGAUGUACUGAUGUUGAGGCUGUGGUGCAGCUCUAAGACACCACAUCCUCUCUGCUGUCAUGCAAAGACUUUCUAGCUUUAACCGCUGCCUGAGUAAGAAGUAAGAAAGAAAAGACCCAAAGCUUAAAAUCUGUAUGUUUGCUGCUCUCUAAAAAUGUUUGUGGGUCUUAUAGACAACAGAACAGAUAAGAAACUAUCCCACAAGUACAAAAUAACUUAAACAGGUUACAAAGAUGUUGAUUCUGAAAGAUGUUUAAACAACAUUAAAACUGAAACUUUAUUUCUUUGGAAAAAGAUUUUAAAUCUAAAUUUCAUGGAAAAAAAUCAACACUUCUGCAAGUCAAACCCACGCUCCCUCGUGUGAGGCACCAGUGCUAACCCCAUGAUGAUCCCAUGAUGCCCACACACGUGGAAACAACAACGUUCAAGUUUCAACUCACAUCUCAACUGCACAGUGACAGAAACACCAUGUACACGCAGAUACAUACACUGCUGUGCAGUAACACCAGUCUGUGUAUCUUGUGUGGAUGUUGUUACGGGUGUUGGGUCAUUUGUCUAAAUCUUUGAUGCAUUUCAUGUGAUCUAACUAUUAGAGAGGACAGGGGCUCCUUCUUUUAAUAGCCUCUCUCAACUUUAGCAUAAAAAGAGCCAACAGAGUUUGUUACAGUAAAGCUCCUUCAAGCCUGCUCAUCUCUGCUACCUGAUGAAGAGCAGUUCAGGAGGUCGACUCAAAUACCGAGCAGAGCAGAAGGGCAGUUAAGAGUAAAGCAGGGUGACGGGACUUCUCUGGAGGUUGUGGAGGCGGGACACGUCAGAUAGCUGAGAAGCAUGUCAAAGAAGAAUGAGGCGAGGACCCUCCAGUGGUUUGACCCCCUCAGGACUCUCACAGUGUUUGAGGUUGGCCAGCUCAGGACAUUUAGGCAGCUUUGGACACUCAGGCUCAAAUAACUCUAGCUUAGUCUCUGGAGGGCUCUCAGGCAGAGAGGCAGACAGGUGCUUGUGAGAGCUCUGCUUCUUUAAAGAGGACGCAGGUGGAACGAAGGCAGCUGGCUCAUUGCUUCACCGGUGAGGACCUGAUAUGAAGCAAACUGGAACGCUGAACAACUGGACCCUGUUAGGUCCUCACAGUAAGACUUCCUCACAGACUGGUGGAAAUGAGGCUGGAAAGCUGGGCAGCUUGGACGACACUGGAAGGCUAGACAUGGUUCUGGAUUAUGCGCUGGGUCAGUUGAGCCCAAUAAGAGGGAAACCAGUUUGUGAUGGAAAUCUCAGGUCAAGGAUGCUUCUUUUUAUUUGUAGAAGAGCAGGUUGCGAAGCAGGGCUAAAAUCAGAGUCUUCCUCCUCUUGUAUUUGUUAUUCUAUUUGAGUUAUGGAGGAGUACACACUUGAAAUAUUUGGCAACUGCAGCAGUCGUGGAAAAUUCCCUCUGUGGCAGAAAAUCACACAGAUGCAGUCUUGAUACCAAUAGAUGGAAA